GGUCGGAUGGUGUAGUUGGUUAUCACGUCAGUCUAACACACUGAAGGUCCCCAGUUCAAUCCUGGGUUCGAUCA
rnacentral:tRNA from 1 species